CUCUGAGAAUCUCAGUUCUGUCCGCAAUCACAAUGAACAACUGAGUAGAGGUCCUAAAUAACUUAGUAUGUUUCAGUUGGAAAGCUAGAGCCCUUCUCACAUUCAACAAAUGAAGUCUCUCCUUAUCUCUGUGGGCAUGAGGUUUCAGAAAGUCAGCUAAUAGAUUACUUGAUUAACAUGAAAAUUAGAGAGACCACCGUAGUGAGAAAUUUUGGGUGAGGAUGAAGAUAAACCUAUUAAAAAUUGUAUAUAGAGGCUCUGACACUAGGGCUUUCAACUCUUCCACUCUUCUGGCCAAGGUGGUGGCCACUAGAAAUGCUACAUUCACAUAUAGAGGUAAGCAGAGCACAAGUUGCAAGGGAUUUAAAGGGCAAUCCUGUCAAUUUUGUUAGGACCAAAUUCAGAUCCCAAGAUUUUGCAUGUGUGGAUUUAAUCUGACCAUGCCCUUUAGGAAUCUGGCUAUGAUGGGGUUGGGAAAAAGGGAUCUACUAUCCACCAAGUUGUGGAAGGCCAAAGUAGCUGCCAGAUGCAACCUUAUAGAGCUAAUAGACAAAUUCUGUUUUAGAUAUAGAAGGUAAGUCCAGGCCUGCUCUGGAGAUACAGCUUUCUGGCAGGACCAAAUGGAGAAGCAUUUCUACUCAGCCAAGUAAGUGCUCCUAGUUGAGGGUUUUCUGCUAUUCAGAAGCACUUUGUGAAUGUCCUUCGAACAGGAUCUUUCAAAGGGUGUUAUCCAUUAAGCAUCCAGGCUGUCAGAUGGAGGGAUCAGAGACUGGAAUAGAGCAAAUGACCAUGGUCCUGGGAAAUCACAUCUGAGUCCAACGGGACAGAUAAUGGAGGCUCAAUUAGCAAGGUUAGUAGAGUUGAGUACCAAUGUUGACAAGGCCAUGCCAGUGCUAUAAGGAUGCGAUGAGCAUGGUCUUGUUUCACUUUGGACAAGACCCUGGGUAGCAAAGGAAUUGAAGGAAAAGUGUACAAUAGGGGAUUGUUCCAGGAUAGGAGAAAAGCAUCUGUCAGUGAGCUGCCAGCUGAGACAUCCCCUGGAACACCAUUGAUGGCAUUUUCUGAUAGUCUUUGUUGCAAAUAAAUCCACUUGGGGAGUUCCCCCAGAGCUGGAAGAUGGAUCUAACCACAUCUGGACAUAAUGACCACUCAAGAAAGAUAUGCUCAGCUAAUCAGCUAACAUGUUCUGUAUCCCUGGAAGGUAAGCAGCCUUGAGAUGAAUCAAGUUGUUUAUGCAAAAGUCCCAUAGGUGAACUGCCUCUUGGCAAAGUUGAAUUGAUUGCACUGCUCUCUGCAGUUAUGUUUUACAUAAGCAGACAAAGUUGUGUAUUAAAAUUAAAUUCUGUCCCACUAUCUGGGGGAGGAAGGUCAAGCAAGCUAGAUGUACUAUCUUAGAUCUCUGACAUUUAUAUAAGUCUUUUGAUCUUGAGAUGACCAAAGACCCUGAGUCUGCAGGGACCCUAUAUGAGCUCCUCAACGCAGGGAUGAUGCAUCUGGGACUAGAGUGAGGUUGGCAGCGGGGAGACAUAGGGGACCUACACACACUUUCAGAGGGUCCAUCCACCAAUCCAACACUGACAACACUGACACUGGCCCUGGAACCACUUUGUCCAAAUGACGAUGAUUCAGGGCACAUCCUAAAGCUAGCUAUGCCUGCAGCUUUCCGAGAUGCAGCCUGGCAUGCCAAACUGCACAGGGCCAUGCUGCCAUGUGACCCAAGAGACUGAGGCAGCUGCGUGCUGUGGGGAGUGGGUAUGUUUCAGCCUCAACAGUAAUGUUUUGAACCUGAAUUGUGGCAGAAAGGCCUUGGCCUUUGUGCAGUCUAAGACCACCCCAAUGAACUCUAUUCUCUGUACUGGUUUUAGGAUUGAUUUGUCCUGAUUCAGCAGAAGUCUCAGUGCAUCAUACGUGGACAGGACAGUGGAUACACUGGCUAACACAAGCCUCAGACUGACCUCUAAUCAACCAGUCAUCCAGGAGACUGCUUUGUCUACACCCCAAUGGGGUCGGGGUGAAAGGAGGGUGUUACUCAAGGAAAGUAUAAAAUAAAAGACAAUGGCUUCUUCAUUACUUCUCUCCUCCUCCAUCUCGACUGAAACAAGACUGUUCGAAAGACUUUGAAAUGAGGAGAUUUGUCCCAGGUUGGGAAGAAAUCCAGCCUGUGUACUAAGAACUGUGAACUGCCUGCAAAAUCCAGUGGGGAAUGGAUGCAUUCACCUGCCAAGAAGAAAAGAAAAAAAAAAAAGGGAACAAACAUUCCAACUACGAAGGAAAUAACUGGGGCAGCUAUCUUAGACUUGAUUCUGACUAACAGGGAGGAAUCAGUUGUGAAUCUGAAAGUGGAAGGCAAUUUGCUGAAAGUGACCCUCCUGAACAUCCAUCCAGUCUCAAGAAGCAGCUAUGGGUUCUGGCUGCUGGUGCUAAGCAGGCAGCAGUGUUACAAUAUCAAUACUCCCUCAUGAAUCCAGGAAAGCACUGAGAGCACACCCACCUUUGAGUUCCUAACUCCAAGCAAAUUGCUUCAUUUGACCUGGGACUCUUCAUGUCAGUGGAUUGGCAAGUUUCAGCAAAGUAGUAUGAUUUUGUUUUGUCUGAGGCACUCUCUCCCAGUACCUUUUCCAACCAAUCCCCCCAUUUUUUUAAAUUCUUCCUUCCCCAUUGAUAAUUUUACUUAAUUUCCCCCCAUCUAAUUUCCUAGAUUCUGGGUUUAUAGUAAAUCUGAAAAUAUUCAUCCAUUUGCCUUAAAUGUACACUUAUAAGAGACACCACAUCUAAACAAUGGAAUUAAGAUUUCAGUUUAAUGAUUAAUCAAUUCCUCACAUGUGAAGAAAUCUGAUCUCCUAAAAUCCUAUCCAAGAAUAAUUUUUAUAUUGCUGGUUAUGAUUCAUCAAAUUACUCAGAAUGUGUUAGUAUGAAUCUGUGAGUUGUUUUUUCAAUAGUAUUAGUCCAGGGUUUUAUUUUUGUUAAAUGAGUUUUAAUAAGUGUUGUGUUGAUUUAUAUUACUGAUAUGGCUAUUGGGCAAUAUCAUUCAGACUAUAAUCCAGCAUGGACAAAGCUCUCAGUGACAAAGUUUAGGAAGAACUGUUCUUCUAAUAAACCCUUAUCUGCAAG